UCUAAGAAAAAUAUUUGAGCUAUAGUAUAUAGAUCAUCGGCCAGACUGCAGAGUAGGGCAGACGCGCCAGAUCUCGUAGGAAACAGACGCACCAAGGAGUCUGGAAAAUAAUUUUUCUUUUUUUCCCCUUAAAACCACGCUUUACAUUAAACAUGUAGACAGCACAAUCAAUACUCAGCAAUAUUGAUCAGACUCGAAAAUUUGGAUCUUGUUUGCUUUUCUCCAAAGGACUUGUGAGUUUGUUUCAAAAGUAAGUGCCUUCUAUCAACUAUAUACGUUUUAAUUGAGGUACUUAUGUGAAAGGUGGCGAUGUAAACUUUACUGUAUUAUAAUGCUUUAUGUGCGAUGUAUUUGUAGCUUUGAUCGCUAAGCAAAAUUGCUGUCUGAUCAUCUUCAUAGUAAAGCCGAUACUUUGCUUAUUACAGAAAAAAUUCUAUGGCGCAGCAAUGUAAAAUGAUAUCAAUCUUUUGCCGUCAUAGUAACAGUGGGGAAGGCAAUCUGAAUGGUAUUAACGUCAUUGUCAAUCAGCAACUGAUGAUAAAUUUUACCUCCAAAUUGAAACAUGAUAUAAAUUGUCUUCACUCUCGAAGAAAUAUGCAACAAUAAAAACGUUGAACGCGACUUUGCGGCGUUUUCGCGCUAUCUGAGGGAAGAAGGAUCGAUAAAUUGGAAAGUAGAAAGGUUUUGCAUGUGGGUGAAGUGAGAUGAAUUACUUCGUAAUUGUGAUCCUCGUUUUCAUACUUAAUCUACGCAUCCUACAGUGUGAAACGUCGUAUGCGAUUGGCAAUUGUGCGGCGUUGACGAACAGACUAAAAUAUGAAUGCCUGCUUAAAGUUGUUGGAGAAAAAGUGAUAUCACGAGAAAAACGGGGUUCUCGCUGGAGAAGGCGACGUCGACGAUAUAGAAGAAGGAGAACAUGUCGUAUCAGAAUUGUGAGAUAUCGAUGCGGACGCAGGAGGAGACGAAGGAAUUAUAGCUACUGAAGUAGUGUGAAGAAUACGAUGGCCGUUGGACUCUAUAUCGUCACACAACAAAUACAUUUUUACGUGAUGACAAUGGGACGUCGGAUCGAUGAAGAACACGACGACCAGCUUGUACGGAAUUUUUGCUAGCCAUUUUCCUAAAAACUAGCACGAAGAGCCACGAAGUACUAAAAAAUGGGCCAAAGAAGUAUAAAAAACACUAAGUUCUUGCAAACAGAAUUCGCAGACCCGAGAUAUGUGUAUAUAUAGAGAAAACAGUACCAUGAGAUUUCGCCAAUAUGCAAAUUUCUUUAUCUAUAUCAAACUUUAGAGGCCACGUGGAAAUAUAGGAACGCGUUUUAUGCUUUAACCAGCAUAGAUUGAAUUCUGUUUUUUUAUUUAUUUAUCGUGCUGAUGGUUUUUAGUGAUAUUAAAUUAUUAUAUAGAAGACAAUAUAACUGUGUUCUAUCGCAAAAUGAA